CAAGGUUGUAUUAAAAAAAUUAUGUUAUGCAAUGCAUUCGAGAGAAUAUUAAACUACUUGGUGGGUGGUCAACAUGCUUGUUUCAUCUUAUAACUGCUGAUCAAUGUAUAAAACUAAUGAUCAGCUGUGAACAUCACUAAAAGGAUCCAAUUGAACUAAUAUAUGAUGAUGGAUUUGGAGGAACAGAAACUUCCACAGCUCCUUCAAGCAUUUGUGUGACUUUCUUCAUUGUAGGUCUUAGUGAUGGAUCCUCCUGAAUGCACCAG
rnacentral:misc_RNA from 1 species